UACGAACUGUGCGAACGUUAUUCGGAAUCACUGGGCUUACAGGGUGCGUAGGCUGCGAUGCAAGUCAGGUGUGAAAGCCCACGGCUCAACCGUGGAAUGGCGCUUGAAACUGCAUUGCUGGAGUGAGCUAGAGGUAGACGGAACUUCCGGUGGAGCGGUGAAAUGUGUUGAUAUCGGAAGGAACACCAGAGGCGAAAGCGGUCUACUGGAGCUUGUCUGACGCUGAGGCACGAAAGCCAGGGGAGCAAAC
rnacentral:rRNA from 1 species